UCUCCGGGGGUAGAGCACUGUUUCGGCUAGGGGGCCAUCCCGGCUUACCAACCCGAUGCAAACUGCGAAUACCGGAGAAUGUUAUCACGGGAGACACACGGCGGGUGCUAACGUCCGUCGUGAAGAGGGAAACAACCCAGACCGCCAGCUAAGGUCCCAAAGUCAUGGUUAAGUGGGAAACGAUGUGGGAAGGCCCAGACAGCCAGGAUGUUGGCUUAGAAGCAGCCAUCAUUUAAAGAAAGCGUAAUAGCUCACUGGUCGAGUCGGCCUGCGCGGAAGAUGUAACGGGGCUAAACCAUGCACCGAAGCUGCGGCAGCGACGCUGAUGCGUUGUUGGGUAGGGGAGCGUUCUGUAAGCCUGCGAAGGUGGCCUGUGAGGGUUGCUGGAGGUAUCAGAAGUGCGAAUGCUGACAUAAGUAACGAUAAAGCGGGUGAAAAGCCCGCUCGCCGGAAGACCAAGGGUUCCUGUCCAACGUUAAUCGGGGCAGGGUGAGUCGACCCCUAAGGCGAGGCCGAAAGGCGUAGUCGAUGGGAAACGGGUUAAUAUUCCCGUACUUGGUGUUACUGCGAAGGGGGGACGGAGAAGGCUAUGUUGGCCGGGCGACGGUUGUCCCGGUUUAAGCGUGUAGGUGUGUGUUCCAGGUAAAUCCGGUUCACUUUAACACUGAGGCGUGAUGACGAGGCACUACGGUGCUGAAGCAACAAAUGCCCUGCUUCCAGGAAAAGCCUCUAAGCAUCAGGUAACAUCAAAUCGUACCCCAAACCGACACAGGUGGUCAGGUAGAGAAUACCAAGGCGCUUGAGAGAACUCGGGUGAAGGAACUAGGCAAAAUGGUGCCGUAACUUCGGGAGAAGGCACGCUGACACGUAGGUGAAGUGAUUUACUCAUGGAGCUGAAGUCAGUCGAAGAUACCAGCUGGCUGCAACUGUUUAUUAAAAACACAGCACUGUGCAAACACGAAAGUGGACGUAUACGGUGUGACGCCUGCCCGGUGCCGGAAGGUUAAUUGAUGGGGUCAGCGCAAGCGAAGCUCCUGAUCGAAGCCCCGGUAAACGGCGGCCGUAACUAUAACGGUCCUAAGGUAGCGAAAUUCCUUGUCGGGUAAGUUCCGACCUGCACGAAUGGCGUAAUGAUGGCCAGGCUGUCUCCACCCGAGACUCAGUGAAAUUGAACUCGCUGUGAAGAUGCAGUGUACCCGCGGCAAGACGGAAAGACCCCGUGAACCUUUACUAUAGCUUGACACUGAACAUUGAGCCUUGAUGUGUAGGAUAGGUGGGAGGCUUUGAAGUGUGGACGCCAGUCUGCAUGGAGCCGGCCUUGAAAUACCACCCUUUAAUGUUUGAUGUUCUAACGUGGACCCGUGAUCCGGGUUGCGGACAGUGUCUGGUGGGUAGUUUGACUGGGGCGGUCUCCUCCUAAAGAGUAACGGAGGAGCACGAAGGUUGGCUAAUCCUGGUCGGACAUCAGGAGGUUAGUGCAAUGGCAUAAGCCAGCUUGACUGCGAGCGUGACGGCGCGAGCAGGUGCGAAAGCAGGUCAUAGUGAUCCGGUGGUUCUGAAUGGAAGGGCCAUCGCUCAACGGAUAAAAGGUACUCCGGGGAUAACAGGCUGAUACCGCCCAAGAGUUCAUAUCGACGGCGGUGUUUGGCACCUCGAUGUCGGCUCAUCACAUCCUGGGGCUGAAGUAGGUCCCAAGGGUAUGGCUGUUCGCCAUUUAAAGUGGUACGCGAGCUGGGUUUAGAACGUCGUGAGACAGUUCGGUCCCUAUCUGCCGUGGGCGCUGGAGAACUGAGGGGGGCUGCUCCUAGUACGAGAGGACCGGAGUGGACGCAUCACUGGUGUUCGGGUUGUCAUGCCAAUGGCACUGCCCGGUAGCUAAAUGCGGAAGAGAUAAGUGCUGAAAGCAUCUAAGCACGAAACUUGCCCCGAGAUGAGUUCUCCCUGAGACUUAGAGUCUCCUGAAGGAACGUUGAAGACGACGACGUUGAUAGGCCGGGUGUGUAAGCGCAGCGAUGCGUUGAGCUAACCGGUACUAAUGAACCGUGAGGCUUAACCUUACA
rnacentral:rRNA from 1 species